rnacentral:rRNA from 1 species
AUGAACGCUGGCGGCGUGCCUAAUACAUGCCGGUCGAGCGAACAGACGAGGAGCUUGCUCCUCUGACGUUAGCGGCGGACGGGUGAGUAACACGUGGAUAACCUACCUAUAAGACUGGGAUAACUUCGGGAAACCGGAGCUAAUACCGGAUAAUAUAUUGAACCGCAUGGUUCAAUAGUGAAAGACGGUUUUGCUGUCACUUAUAGAUGGAUCCGCGCCGCAUUAGCUAGUUGGUAAGGUAACGGCUUACCAAGGCAACGAUGCAUAGCCGACCUGAGAGGGUGAUCGGCCACACUGGAACUGAGACACGGUCCAGACUCCUACGGGAGGCAGCAGUAGGGAAUCUUCCGCAAUGGGCGAAAGCCUGACGGAGCAACGCCGCGUGAGUGAUGAAGGUCUUCGGAUCGUAAAACUCUGUUAUUAGGGAAGAACAAAUGUGUAAGUAACUAUGCACGUCUUGACGGUACCUAAUCAGAAAGCCACGGCUAACUACGUG